rnacentral:rRNA from 1 species
GACGAACGCUGGCGGCGUGCUUAACACAUGCAAGUCGAACGGUAAGGCCCUUCGGGGUACACGAGUGGCGAACGGGUGAGUAACGCGUGAGUAACCUGCCCUUCACUCUGGGAUAACAGUUGGAAACGGCUGCUAAUACCGGAUAUUCAGCUCCUGUCGCCUGGUGGGGGUUGGAAAGUUUUGGUGGUGGAGGAUGGGCUCGCGUCCUAUCAGCUUGUUGGUGGGGUGAUGGCCUACCAAGGCGUCGACGGGUAGCCGGCCUGAGAGGGCGACCGGCCACAUUGGGACUGAGAGACGGCCCAAACGCCUAAGGGAGGCAGCAGGGGGGAAUAUUGCACAAUGGGCGGAAGCCUGAUGCAGAAACGCCGCGUGCGGGAUGAAGGCCUUCGGGGUGUAAACCGAUUUCAGCAGGGACGAAGAGCAAGUGACGGUACCUGCAGAAGAAGCACCGGCUAACUACGUG